AUGAGAUUGGCACGCCCAAAGGACCCAGGCAGCACCCCCUGGCUCCCCCAGCUCCGCACCCGUCAGGAAAGGGAGGGACAGCUGCUCGGAGACGACCACCUAGUCGCCUGGCUUCCUGGAGUGCUCGCCACCUCUGGCCCGCAGACUCCUGCCAGCCUCAGGUUGAAAAGGAACCCGAAGGUCACUUCAUUCAGACCUCUUUGGGUGUCUGAGAGUUCAGCUGGUGGUGCCCUUGGCUCUUUGGGCUCCGGGGGCUUUGCCAAACAUCACUGGAGCAGGUUAUCUGGUGCUUCUCUAACCCAGGAACAACGUGGGUAGAGGAUGAUCGGGUCCCACGUAUGCCCAUCCAGAGCAACCAGCGUGGCCAACCUUGAUCCCUGGGGAGGACACAUGGAGGGACUUACUUGUGCCAGACCCUGUCUUCAGCUCUUCCCGUGUGUUCCUCCGGUUCUCCCCUCAGCUCUCUGACUGAUCUCAGUUUCACAGAGGCACAGACAGGCGCAGAACUGCUUUGCUCAGAGUCAUACCGCUAGAGGUGGCAAGCCUGCACCGAUAAGCAUUACCUUUUUUUACAACUGCCCCAUGGGCCAGAAGAGGCGACAGAGACAUUCAUGCUCUCUCUGGGGGCUGGAGAAGUCCCCGGACUCUGGGCUAGGAGAGGGGGCCGUGAGUAAAGACACAGGCAUUCUGUCCUGCUCCCCACCCAUCUGUGUAACCUACCUUUUGGGGUAUCUAUAUUCAUAUCUUAAAAAAAAAAUCAACACAUCUUAAAUAAUUUAGCCCCUUUCUUCCCCGGAGGGAAGCAUGGUUAUCCGCAGUUGUCUUCGCCCCCAGAUUUUUUUUUGUGGUGGUUUUACACGAACCCAUUUGUAUAUAUGUAUAUAUCCAUGCGUAUGUAAUUUUACCCCUUUAUAGUGUGAUGUACUGCCUGACUAUACUGUACUUUCUGUUAUGUGCUAUUUUCAAGUAGCAGUGAAUUUCCAGUCUUGGUUGCACAUUAAUAUGAUCUUAGGCACUUCAAGGAAUAACAUUGCCUGGGUCCUACUACAGACCAGACAAUCCAGACUCUUCGAGGAUGGGGCCCUAGGUCAAUUCCUUCCUUCCUUCCUUCCUUCCUUCCUUCCUUCCUUCCUUCCU
rnacentral:lncRNA from 1 species